rnacentral:rRNA from 1 species
AAGCGCUUGGCCGAGAUCGUGAGUUUUUUAACAAAUGACCUCAAAUCAGGCAAGAAUACCCGCUGAACUUAAGCAUAUCAAUAAGCGGAGGAAAAGAAACUAACAAGGAUUCCCCUAGUAACGGCGAGUGAAGAGGGAAGAGCUCAAAUUUUAAAUCUGCCUUGUUCCAAGGUCGAGUUGUAAUUUGAAGAAGCGUUUUCUUGGGCUCGCGGCCGGUAGAAGUUCUUUGGAACAGGACAUCAUAGAGGGUGACAAUCCCGUCCGUGACCGGUCGUGCGUUCAUCUACGAUACGCUUUCAAAGAGUCGAGUUGUUUGGGAUUGCAGCUCCAAACGGGUGGUAAACAUCACCUAAGGCUAAAUAUUGGCGAGAGACCGAUAGCGAACAAGUACCGUGAGGGAAAGAUGAAAAGAACUUUGAAAAGAGAGUUAAACAGUACGUGAAAUUGUUGAAAGGGAAACGAUUGAAGUCAGUCGUGCUGGCGCGAAAUCAACCCUCUCGUCUUGAGAUCACAUGGCGCGACGAGCCUCAAAACCGUCACGAAGCGUGAACUCUUGACGAAAAGGUGCACUUUCGUGUCCGCUGGUUAACAUCAAUUUCGAACGUCAUAAAAAGGCUGGAGGGAUGUGGCUCCUUCGGGAGUGUUAUAACCUUUAGCGGAAUGUGGCGUUCGGGAUUGAGGAUUGCAACGAAUACCUUCAGGGCUGUUCCACCUGGCUUCUCAUUGGUAUCCUGGUGACGACAGCUUGCUGACGUCGUUAGGAUCAGCUUCUGAACAGGCUAGAGUGUGAGCAAAUUCGUUAAGGAUGUUAACGUAAUGGCUUUAAACGACC